UUACGGAAGGCAGCAGGCGCGAAUAAUUCACAAUGGGGGCAACCCUGAUGGUGCAACGCCGCGUGGAGGAUGACGGUCUUCGGAUUGUAAACUCCUGUCAUCUGGGAGUAAGACCUGGUCGUUAAUAGCGGACAGGGUUGAUAGUACCAGAAGAGGAAGGGACGGCUAACUUCGUGCCAGCAGCCGCGGUAAUACGAAGGUCCCGAGCGUUGUUCGGAAUCACUGGGCGUAAAGGGAGCGUAGGCGGCGUGGUAAGUCAGAUGUGAAAUCCCGGGGCUCAACCCCGGAACUGCAUCCGAUACUGCCGUGCUAGAGGAUUGGAGAGGUAGCUGGAAUUCUUGGUGUAGCAGUGAAAUGCGUGGAUAUCAAGAGGAACACUCGUGGCGAAAGCGAGCUACUGGACAACUCCUGACGCUGAGGCUCGAAGGCCAGGGUAGCGAAAGGGAUUAGAUACCCCAGU
rnacentral:rRNA from 1 species